ACACGUAGGGGGCGAGCGUUGUUCGGAAUCAUUGGGCGUAAAGGGCGUGCAGGCGGUCCUACAAGUCCGGCGUGAAAGACCCCGGCCCAACCGGGGGGACGCGCUGGAAACUGCAGGGCUUGAGUACAGGAGGGGAUGCCGGAAUUCCAGGUGUAGGGGUGAAAUCUGUAGAUAUCUGGAAGAACACCAAUGGCGAAGGCAGGCAUCUGGCCAUGUACUGACGCUGAGACGCGAAGGUGCGGGGAGCAAACAGGUUUAGAUACCCUGGUAGUCCGUACAGUAACCGAUGUGCACCAGGUGGCGGGGGGUCGACCCCCGGUACCGUAGCUAACGCAUUAAGUGCACCGCCUGGGGAGUAUGCUCGCAAGGGUGAAACUUAAAGGAAUUGGCGGGG
rnacentral:rRNA from 1 species